rnacentral:lncRNA from 1 species
AUUUUCAUUUUAUAGGGUAUUUGCUACUUCACUACUCAAACCCACCGCCCCAACCUUCAAAUCUCAAUCCCUAGUUCAGUUUGAUCCUUUGUCCUGAACCCGCCGGGCCGCUGCCCUCUCGGUCGGAGUCGUCGAGUCAGAACCCUUCGAUUGACGCAUCCCCUCGCGCCACGCCGCCAGCAGCCGCCGCCCCGUCACGCCGGCAGCAGUAUCCAAUCGGUAAGAUACUAAUAUCCUAGAUAGAGAAAGUGAAAUCGAAAAGAAAAGAGAGAGGAGCUGUAAAUGUAAUUCGUCUCCUACUUCUCGUUCCCUCUUCCAAUUUUCACGGUACCCACCAAUUUCACAACCAUUCACUCUUCUCUCAUUUUAUCUCACAAUUUUUGAUUUUGUAUUUUUUUCAUCACUAAUUUCCCAACCCUUCACUUAUUACUUAUUGUUGCGCCGUCGACAUCCUCCUGCUGCGCCGUCGUCGUUGGUGAGCCGCUGAUUUCUGCCGUUUGUUGCGCGGCGAACAUCUUGCCUCUACUUUCUGCUACCUUCUAUGGUGAAG